AAGCGUUUAUGGGAUUCAGUUGCCUGGUUCGGGACCAGGAGGUCGAUGGUUCAAAUCCAUUCGCCCUGACCA
rnacentral:tRNA from 1 species